rnacentral:rRNA from 1 species
CUGGGUUCAGAACGUCGUGAGACAGUUCGGUCCCUAUCCGUCGUGGGCGUAGGAAAUUUGAGAGGAGCUGUCCUUAGUACGAGAGGACCGGGAUGGACAUACCUCUGGUGUACCAGUUGUCGUGCCAACGGCAUAGCUGGGUAGCUAUGUGUGGACGGGAUAAGUGCUGAAAGCAUCUAAGCAUGAAGCCCCCCUCAAGAUGAGAUUUCCCAACUUCGGUUAUAAGAUCCCUCAAAGAUGAUGAGGUUAAUAGGUUCGAGGUGGAAGCAUGGUGACAUGUGGAGCUGACGAAUACUAA